UGCAACUGUGAACAUUACCUUGGACUACGAGGAACCCGUGUAUGUUUCCAGACAAGAUUCCACAGAAUCUGCAUGCCCUCACGAGUUCUGUGAACGUCUCAGGGCAGCUUCUGUUCCCAUGCUCCUCCAGGAGUUGGAACGACGUUUCUCUGGCGAGAAUACCAACGUACUGGCUGCUCUGGAGGCUUUAGAUGCGUCAAAAUCGACCUACCUAGAUUAUGCGACCCUAUCCAGUCUCGUUGCCAAAUUUGGAGAUUGUCUCCAUAUUGACUCUACCUUUCUUAAAACCGAGUGCGAACGGGCGAAGAUUCUAAUUGCUGCCGGAAAGAACAUCGACCCUGAACUGUACCCCAACCUAUCCAAGGUGAUUGCUAUAUCAAAGACCUUGCCAGUUGGUACUGCAACCGUGGAAAGAAGCUUCAGUGCUAUGAAUCGGAUAUUGAGCUGGGCUCGUAAUAGCUUAGACAGUUCAUUGGCCAGUGACUUUAUGUUGCUAUCCAUGAGUAAAGACCUGUUAAAAAGAAUAAACUUGGACAAAGUGCUUGAUCGAUGGGUAAAUCAAAAAUCCCGAAUCGUACAGUUUAAGUAAAGACUUCUAGCGCAGCUAGCGCUUAAAACUAAUUUAAUUUGACUUUUUUUCAGAAUUCAUAACACUCAUUGUGUGACUUGUGAGAUUAUCAAUGUAGAAUACUUUUGCUAGUUUUUAGCUUGUUUUUAUUAAAACUUACCAUUUCGUUUCCUUAUAUUGUGCUUUCAUUUUUCAAAAUGAAUUAUGAAAUCUAGCUAAAAUAUAAUUUUAGUAAAAUUUUUUGGGGGGGGGGGCGAUCGCCCCCCCUCGCCCCCCCUAGUUUCCGCCACUGAAUUUGAUUAGUUUGCCCACCUUGAACGGGAAAAACAAUGUUUCUUGGUUUGCCCAUCUUCAGGAAACAUGACCAGGAAACAAUGUUUCUUGGUUUGUCCACCUUUG